GGCUCGGUGGUGGACGGUCCACACCUGUGUUCCAUGGGAAGAUGUUCUAGAAGAUAUCAGCAGGAGAAGCCUGUUCGAAUCAGGUCCGAGCCA